AUUGAACGCUGGCGGCAGGCCUAACACAUGCAAGUCGAGCGGAUGAAGGGAGCUUGCUCCUGGAUUCAGCGGCGGACGGGUGAGUAAUGCCUAGGAAUCUGCCUGGUAGUGGGGGAUAACGUCCGGAAACGGGCGCUAAUACCGCAUCCGUCCUGCGGGAGAACGUGGGGGUGCUUCGGACCUCGCGCUAUCAGAUGAUCCUAGGUCGGAUUAGCUAGUUGGUGGGGUAAAGGGCUACCAAGGCGACGAUCCGUAACUGCUCUGAGAGGAUGAUCAGUGACACUGGAACUGAGACACGGUCCAGACUCCUACGGGAGGCAGCAGUGGGGAAUAUUGGACAAGGGGCGAAAGCCUGAUCCAGCCAUGCCGCGUGUGUGAAGAAGGUCUUCGGAUUGUAAAGCACUUUAAGUUGGGAGGAAGGGCAGUAAGUUAAGACCUUGCUGUUUUGACGUUACCAACAGAAUAAGCACCGGCUAACUUCGUG
rnacentral:rRNA from 1 species